AUAGGGUGGAAAUGACGCCUGGUUGUGACAGGGGGACUGACCUCUCUCCAGCAGCUGCAGAUCAGAAGGGAAGGCUGUAUCGGCAUCUGUCAACGCAGUAAAACGCGACAGGCCUUCAGCCAUCAGAUAGAAGAUGCUGAAGUUGUGUUGGUGAGGAGGCAGGUGGACCAGACGAGCUUUCUCCAGCAUGAUGAUCAGAGAGCGAGCUGACCCAGAUAUCGACAACAUAACGAUGACUUCAUUAGAACACAGUACUUGCACUUGCAGGCUAUACAAUGCUGUGAUAAGCACCACCAGUGAAUACAAGAAGAGGCAGUGAUAUGAGUGCUGACCUUAAUGACAGAUUUUUUUCUUAUCUUCUGUUUUUCAUAUACAGAAGGAGGGAGGGUACUAAGUUCCAACCGUGCCAAUUCAUUUUUUUCUCUUUCAUCAAAAUAUGCCAAUAUAUUUUCCCCACAAACAUUUCUGGUCAUUAUCUAUUCUACCAAAAAGUUUUGAGAUUUUAGCAUCUCCUGAUUCACUUGGAAAAUGCACCACAAUGGGUACUUGUUGAUCUUCUAUACACACAUAUCUUUUUUUAAUCAACUCUCCCUCUAUACUCUGAAAAGGAGGAAUGAAUUCCCUUCUAAAAAGAACGCCCUUCUGCAAAUGGUUCUGUCCUAAAGAACCAGAAUCAUGGAGAUAGAGCCACAGUAAUGGAAAUUUUAAUGAUGCGAUCAAACAUGGGUCUGAAUGCUCAAAUUGCAUCUCUGACAAAUGAUCAGCCAUCUAAUAGAGAGGAAAAGACUACAAGCAAUGGCUCUAUACUGUGGUGUGCCACGCCAUACAUCUAUUCUCUCCCACACUACAGCAACAAGGAACAGCAGGAUGCAUUCAUCUGAUAUCUGAUUUUUUUAUUACAGAGAUUACAUGGGGGAUGGAACAAUAAGCACAAUAGGAUUCACAAUAGGAUCUGUUCUUCAUUUUGAAGAACAGAAAAAUAUUCAGGAGUUUCUCAGUGAGGACUCAUUGCAUAGAGCAUGGAAAUAAAAUUAAAAAGAUAGCACAAUUGUGUCUAAGAUCAUUUUCUUGGUCAAAGUAAAGAAACAAGGACAUGAGAGCAACAAAGGAUUCGAGGAUC